rnacentral:rRNA from 15 species
GUGAGGGAAAGGUGAAAAGAACCCUGAAUAAGGGAGUGAAAUAGAACCUGAAACCAUACGCUUACAAGCGGUCGGAGCGGCUUCGUGCUGUGACGGCGUGCCUUUUGCAUAAUGAGCCUACGAGUUACCGUUGCUAGCAAGGUUAAGGACUUCAGGUCCGGAUCCGUAGCGAAAGCGAGUCUGAAUAGGGCGCUUUAGUUAGUAGUGGUAGACGCGAAACCGUGUGAUCUACCCAUGGGCAGGUUGAAGCUGUAGUAACAUACAGUGGAGGACCGAACCGGUUGACGUUGAAAAG